rnacentral:rRNA from 1 species
AGAGUUUGAUCCUGGCUCAGGAUGAACGCUGGCGGUAUGCUUAACACAUGCAAGUCGAACGGGAUCUCAGAAAUGGGGUUCAGUGGCGGACGGGUGAGUAACGCGUGAGAAUCUGGCUUCAGGUUCGGGACAACCACUGGAAACGGUGGCUAAUACCGGAUAUGCCGAGAGGUGAAAGAUAUAUUGCCUGAAGAUGAGCUCGCGUCUGAUUAGCUAGUUGGUAGGGUAAUGGCCUACCAAGGCGGCGAUCGGUAACUGGUCUGAGAGGAUGACCAGUCACACUGGGACUGAGACACGGCCAGACUCCUACGGGAGACAGCAGUGGGGAAUUUUCCGCAAUGGGCGAAAGCCUGACGGAGCAAUACCGCGUGGGGGAUGAAGGCUCUUGGGUUGUAAACCCCUUUUCUCAGGGAAGAAAAAAAUGACGGUACCUGAGGAAUAAGCAUCGGCUAACUCCGUGCCAGCAGCCGCGGUAAUACGGAGGAUGCAAGCGUUAUCCGGAAUGAUUGGGCGUAAAGCGUCUGUA